rnacentral:rRNA from 1 species
CUUUGGGAGUUCGAUUAAGCCAUGCGAGUCGUGAGUCUUAGGGACUCGGCAUACUGCUCAGUAACACGUGGAUAACCUGCCCUAUCGUCUGGAAUAACCUCGGGAAACUGAGAAUAAGGCCGGAUAGUUCACAAUGCCUGGAACGGUUUGUGAAUCAAGGUAGGAUGGGUCUGCGGCGUAUCAGGUUGUAGGGGGUGUAAAGGACCCCCUAGCCUUCGACGCGUACGGGUGUUGGGAGACAUAGCCCGGAGAUGGAUUCUGAGACACGAAUCCAGACCCUACGGGGUGCAGCAGGCGCGAAAACUUCACACUGCAGGAAACUGUGAUGAGGGAACUCCUAGUGCAUGCACUAUGUGUAUGUAGAUCCUACUCUUAACAAGUAGAGGGAAAGGGCUGGGAAAGACCGGUGCCAGCCGCCGCGGUAAUACCGGCAGCUCAAGUGGUCGUCGCUUUUAUUGGGCCUAAAACGUCCGUAGCCUGUUUGGUAAAUCUGUGGGUAAAUCAAUCCGCUCAACGGAUUGAAUUCUGCAGAGACUGCCAGACUAGGGACCGGGAGAGGUGUGGGGUACUCGAGGGGUAGGGGUAAAAUCCUGUCAUCCUUCGAGGACCACCAGUUGCGAAGGCGCCACACUGGAACGGAUCCGACGGUCAGGGACGAAGCCUAGGGGCACGAACCGGAUUAGAUACCCGGGUAGUCCUAGGUGUAAACGCUGUGAACUUGGUGUCGGGGGUCCGCAAGGGGUCCCCGGUGCCGGAGUGAAGAUGUUAAGUUCACUGCCUGGGGAGUACGGUCGCAAGGCUGAAACUUAAAGGAAUUGGCGGGGCAGCAC